rnacentral:rRNA from 1 species
AACGAACGCUGGCGGCAUGCCUAACACAUGCAAGUCGAACGAGACCUUCGGGUCUAGUGGCGCACGGGUGCGUAACGCGUGGGAACCUGCCCUUAGGUUCGGAAUAACUCCCGGAAAGGGGUGCUAAUACCGGAUAAUGUCUUCGGACCAAAGAUUUAUCGCCUUUGGAUGGGCCCGCGUUGGAUUAGCUAGUUGGUAGGGUAAAAGCCUACCAAGGCGACGAUCCAUAGCUGGUCUGAGAGGAUGAUCAGCCACACUGGGACUGAGACACGGCCCAGACUCCUACGGGAGGCAGCAGUGGGGAAUAUUGGACAAUGGGCGAAAGCCUGAUCCAGCAAUGCCGCGUGAGUGAUGAAGGCCUUAGGGUUGUAAAGCUCUUUUACCCGGGAUGAUAAUGACAGUACCGGGAGAAUAAGCUCCGGCUAACUCCGU